rnacentral:rRNA from 1 species
AGAGUUUGAUCCUGGCUCAGAUUGAACGCUGGCGGCGUGCCUAACACAUGCAAGUCGAACGGAGAUAAGGGGCUUGCUCCUUAUUUUAGUGGCGCACGGGUGAGUAACGCGUGGAUAAUCUACCUUGGAAUCUGGGAUAACAUUUCGAAAGGGGUGCUAAUACCGGAUAAGACCACGAGCUCUUUGGAGUUUGCGGUAAAAGGGGGCCUCUGUAUAUGCUUCUGUUUCAAGAUGAGUCCGCGUACCAUUAGCUAGUUGGCAGGGUAAUGGCCUACCAAGGCGACGAUGGUUAGCUGGUCUGAGAGGAUGAUCAGCCACACUGGAACUGAGACACGGUCCAGACUCCUACGGGAGGCAGCAGUGGGGAAUUUUGCGCAAUGGGGGAAACCCUGACGCAGCAACGCCGCGUGAGUGAUGAAGGCCUU